rnacentral:tRNA from 1 species
UUAGACUCAGUUGGUUUACCCGACUAAGUUUUUGCCAGAGCAAAAAUUUUGACGGGUGAAGAGCGCUUCGUUUACAUCGAAGAGGUCGUAGGUUCAAGCCCUACAGUGGCCA